rnacentral:tRNA from 1 species
GCCCGAGUGGCGGAAUGGUAGACGCAGGGGAUUCAAAAUCCCCCGAUGGCAACAUCGUGUGAGUUCGAGUCUCACCUCGGGCACCA